CUCCAGCUGACGAGUCCUAAAUAAGACGAAACGCGCGGCCUGGAC
rfam:Schistosoma haematobium scaffold207_4, whole genome shotgun sequence.